CAAAAUGUUACAAGUUGCCCAGUCACCCCGGCUUCUGAGAUGAAGAAUAUUAUUGAAGUCAAAUCUGGUGGCUAUCACACUCCAUGGAACUUGGGGCAACAUUUAGGUACCUCUACCCAGGAAAGAAUCUCUGAGAAAUAGGUGGCAGUUUCUCUAGCAGCAUAAGAAGAACCUUGAUAAGCAUCAUCCUUAAGUCCUGACAGCAGUGGAUGACUAGUCAGGAACCUGUCCAGGAGGACAUUGACAUGGAUCUGCCAGCUUUCUAAGACUUUCCCCAGAUUCAAGUCCAGUCACAUCAAGUUGCCUUAUUAAAGGGUCUGCCCACUCAAAAGGAGAAAGUGCAAAAGAUGCUCAGCAAGGAAUAUCCAGCACAAUAAGCAUUGAAGAAACAAAUGGCAACGCAAGCUUAAAGAAUUCCAAGCCAUUAUGAACUGACUCUUCAAAUAAGUGCUUAUUUUCACAUAACCAGGGAGUUUCUGGAUUAACUUCCAUAUAAGACAUAUUUAUUAAAAGAUUUGCACCCCUAUUGCUGGCACUGGGUGGACCUCCCCAAACGCUCUGCCCUUGGUGCUCUUCUGCCGGUUAUUCUCGUCCAUGACCCCAGAGCCAGGGAGAAUCUCACCAGUGCAGCCCAGGGCACUUCUGAUAACAUCUGAGCAGAGUGAAGGAGAAGAAACGCACGAGGCAGGCAUCUCAUUUAUGGAAGUGCUCCUCUGGGUCAAGCCCUCUGCCAAUAAUUUUCAUGCAUAAUGGCCCUUUCAUUCUCCCCAAAAAUUCUUCAAGGGAGGGUGAUAAUCCCAGGAUAUGGAAACAAGGAAAAGCAGACUACAAGAAGUUAAGUGACCUCCCCAAUGACCCGCUGCUCAUAAAUGGUAGUAUCAGAAUUAAAACCCAGAUGAGGCUGCCCAGGACUGAGGUUUGUGUUACCCCCCGAAGGUGCGCACCAUGGAGAAUGGCCUGGAGUUUCCUGGCUGCAUGUAAGUGCAGGAAGACAUGCUAAGGGUACCACCGCUCUCAGUAGAGCAAGCACACUUCUCUCGGGCUCUUUCCUGAAUUCAAGUAAUCACACCUCGCACACCAACCCACUGCCAAGAAAGAGCUUUUAUUUGACUCAGGAGGUAGAGAAAGUUUCACUGAAGGAUUUCUAAAUUUGUUCUCUUUCUUUCUUCCUUCCUUUUCUUUCUUCCUUCUUUCCUUCCUUUCUCUUUUCUUUCUUUUGUUCAUUCUCUUUCAUUUUUCUUUCUUUUUUUCUUUCUCUUUCUUUCCCUUGUCCAUUCAUUCGCCUUUCCUUUCUUUAUUUUUCUUGGCUUUUUUCUUUCAUUUCUUUAUAUUCCCCUCUUUCGCUUUCUCUGAAUUUUUAUGUCUCUUUUUUGUUCUUUUUUAUUCCCUUUUUAACCCACUUCCUUAACAACAUCUGUAUCUCGGGUGAAAUUGCUGGAACUGUCACAUUAAGUUCCAGAGAAUUUCUCAUUUGGGACCUUGCAUAUCACACAUGGCUCCAAGGGGCUGAUGGAUUCCUUUUAUGUCCUCUUUACUACUAAAGUUUAUAGGGAACAUCUUGCGUCUCUCUCUUUUCUCUGCUACAUUAAAAAUGAUCAUCUAGCUCUCCAUAUGGCCAAAGUUUGAGGUCUUGCUUACUGGUUAGUAUUGAUUAGUACUUAUUCAUAACUGGUAUAAUAUUUUUCCUACAGAGUACAAAUUGCAAUUUGCAGUAUCAGACCUUAGAAAGCUUUGGACCACAUAAUAAAUGCAAGAUUUGACAAACAUGAAUCAUGUUCUUUCUUCUCCUCUCCACUUUAGGCAGAGCUAUUUUGUGUUUUUUGUGGUCUUGCCUUUGAGUAUGACCAGGGGCAACAAGUUAAAUGCUUGCCAUCUCAGACUACCGGGGGAAGGGCUCCUCCCCAGUCACCAAUGUGAGUGGCAUAAUGAGAGCUAAGGAUAGCCCGGGGCCAUGGGACUGCUACACAGCAGAGCCUUCCUUGAGUUUGUCUCCUCUGGAGGCAUGUCCUUGACAAUCUUCAUAGCAACAAAACAGGUCAGUGAGGAAGGGAGAGAGCAACUGAAGGCUUCCUCUCCUUCCAUAGCUAGCAGAGCAACAGGCAUCCUUACUAUUAUUUUCAUUUUUAUCCAUUUACCUAGUCAAAACACAUAGGAAGAGAAUAAGCAUCUUCAGAAUAACAAAAAUGUAUUAGUUAGGGUUAGGUUCCUCUGCAUAUAACAGUAGCUUACAUAAGUGACUUAAUGAUAUACAAAUUUAUUUUUCCCCACAUAAAAGAGGUCUUGAGGUGGGCAGCCCCGAGGUGUAAUGGAAGUUCCACAGUUACUGAAAACCAGGUGCUUUUUUAUCUUUCUUUGCCAUAUACUUAACAUAUGGCUUUCAUCCUCAAGGUCACCUCAUGGUCCAAGAUAGCUGUUGGAAUGCCAGCCAUCAUUUCUGCUUUCUAGGAGAGAACCAGGAAAAACGGAAAGGCAAAACAUGUAGCUCUCCCGGUUGAGGCAGCAUUCUUGAAGAUUUCUGGAAACCCAACAAACAACUCCUACUUACAGGAGGCUAGGAAAUAUGUCUCUGUAUCUAGGCCCAUCACCAACCAGAAUACAAUCAGAACCUGUGAGUGAGGAAGGAGAGAAUCAAUACUAUGUAGGCAUCCAGCAGUCUCUGCUCCAAGCGAGGUGCCAGCCCCUGAGCUAAGAACUUUAUAUACAUAGCCCUGCUUCUUCCUCAAAAUACCUCCACUAGCCACAGGCCAUCAGAGCUACAGAAGUCUCAGGAAUUAUUAAUCCACCAACCCAAUUUUAUUUUAACUAACGUUUGAGUAGAGCUUUAGCAUUUACAGAACUAUGCCCCAGAUCUCACUGAAUUCUCAAAAACACUCCCUUAAGGUAAAUAUUAUCUUAACUUGAUUUUCCCGUGCAGGAAGUUGAAAUCUAGAAAGAUUUCAGUGGUUGGCUCAAAGUCACAUAGCUAAUUAGAGGCAAAACUGGUACUAGCACUCAGAUCUCCUGAUACCUAGCCCAUCUUCCUUCCUUUCUUUCUCCUUCCUUCCUUCAUUCCUUGCUUCUUUCUUUCCUUCCUUCCUUCCUUUCUUUCUUUUUCUUUCCCUUUCUUUCCUUCCUUCCUUCUUUUUUUCUUAGAGAUGAAAGAUACAGAAAAGUUCAGAGAUUAUUAUAAAUGUCAAACCACUAUCAACAAAUGCUGAUGUUUUUGUCAUUUUGCUUCAGAACUUUUUACUUUUAGAUUUAAAAAAAUUACUGAGAAGACUGAAAUCCAUUUUGUAUUCCUCAUCAAUCACAUUCCCCUUCCUCUCCAGAAAUAAUCAAUAUCAUGAAUUUGAUGUGUAUCUCCCUGGUCCAUAUUUCUCUUUUAAUUUCUCACAUGCAUUCAUAAAUAAUAUAAAUUGAUCUUUUUGAAGCCUUUCUUUUUCACUCAACAAUUGUUUUUGAACUUUAUCCAGGUUAUUGCAUACAGUUCAUUCAUUCUAAUUGCUAUGGGAUGUUCUAUCCAUAAAUAUACAGUACAUUUUAUUUGUCCAUUUCUAUUUUCCUUCUACAUAUAUUGAGAGCUUAUUAUGUGCCAGGAAGUAUUCUAAAAGCUUUUUGUGUAUUAUCUCAAUCAUCAUAACAAGUCCACGAGGAAGAGAUUGUUAUAAUCCCUGGUGUAUAUAAGGAAGAAACUAAAGCAAGACAGAAAUAGGAAUCAGCCCAAGGUUUCACAGCUCUUAAGCCACAGAGCUAGAAUUCAACACCAGAAGAUCUGAAUCCAGAAUCCCGUCCCUUGACUUCUACUCUAAAUAACCCAGGCAAACUCAGGCAUCCUCACCAGUACAGCCAUUCCUGUUAUUAAAAUAUUGCCCAAAACACUCUGCCCGGAUCUGGCAGGACCCUGCCCCACUCUAUGACCAGCAUAUGUUCUGAUUGGCUGGUGCCUGCCUGUACCUAUUUUAUUGCUAAAUAUUUUGAAAACCACUCCUAUUCUGUACUGACUAGACACUUGGGUUGUUUCCAAUUCUUCGCCUCUACAAACAAGAAGACCUAGGGGUAGAAAUGCUGAGUCAUACAUUAUACCUAUCAAAGAUUUUACUAAAAACUGCUGAUUGCUCUCGAAAGUUGACUACAUUCAUGAAAUAUACUAAUAAGCUAAUGUAAACUCCCAUUUCUCA
rnacentral:lncRNA from 10 species